GGACGGUGAGGUUCGGAGCUUCGGGAGAGAGAGAGGGGGAACAGAGGAAGUAACGAGGAUAAGAGGAAAUAAAAUAUUCAUGUGUAUGGACCCCAUGAAAUUUUGUAAAGCGUGCUAAAAAAUAGAUUGUUGGAUGUUACGGUGUCUAUAUAUGAGUCGGACAUGGUUUAUAGAGAGUGAGUUUACUAUACACCACUGGGAGUGCCCUAAGUACCACGGGUGAGUGGUAUUAAAUCCCUACGUAAUUAUUGCAGAUGAAUUUUUUUAUUAAAAAAAUCCUACCAUCACUUAUAUUCUCGAUUUGUUAUCAUUACAAUAACAUGUCUUCUGAAUCUUCAGAGAGACCGAAAGGAAUAUGACUUUUUAAAUGUUGAUCCAUCUACCAUAUUGAGUUUAAAAAUUUCAUUUAGCUUUACAUUUUAGAGUAAAUUACGUGCUAUUGGAAAAAAAUCAACUAUGAAGUUCGAACUUCUUCGAAUCGGGCUAUAGCUCGCUGUUGCAUUUCAUAC
rnacentral:lncRNA from 1 species